UUUUGGGGUAAAAUUUGGGGUAAAAAUUCCCAUUUUUGGGGUAAAAAUUCCCAUUUUUGGGGUGGAUUUUCAGGCAGAAAUUCCCAUUUUUGGGGUGGAUUUUGGGGUAAAAAUUCCCAUUUUUCGGGUGGAUUUCAAGGCUCAGUUUGGGGUGGAAUGUCUGGUUUUGGUUGGUGGAGUUUGGGGUGAAAAUGUUCGGUUUUGGGGUGGAUUUGAGGACGGAUUUUGGGGUGAAAAUUCCCAGUUUGGGGUGGCUGUGAUGGUGAAUUUUGGGGUGAAAAUUCCCAGUUUUGGGGUAAAAAAAUCUCAUUUUUGGGGUAAAAAUUCCCACAUUGGAGGUGGAUUUAGGAGUAAAAAAUCCCAAUUUUGGGGUGGAUCUUGGGAUUAAAAUUCAGAGUUUUGGGGUAAAAAUUCCUGAUUUUGGGGUGGAUUUCAGGGUAAAAAGUCCCAGGGUGGGGAUGGAUUUUGGAGUAAAAAUUCCCAGUUUUGGGGUAAAAAUUCCCUUUUUUGGGGUGGAAUUUGAGUUAAAAAAUCCCAGUUUUAGGUUGGAUUUUGGGGUUAAAGUUUGGAGUUUUGGGAUGGACUUUGGGGUGAAAAUGCCCAUUUUUGGGGUGAAAUUUGGGUUAAAAAUUCCCAUUUUUGGGGUGGACUUUUGGGUUAAAAUACCGAAUUUUGGGGUGAAAAUUCCCAUUUCUGGGUUGGAUUUUGGGGUUAAAGUUCAGAGUUUUGGGGUUAAAAUGCCCAUUUUUGGGGUGAAAUUUGGGUUAAAAAUUCCCAUUUUUGGGGUGGACUUUUGGGUUAAAAUACCGAAUUUUGGGGUGAAAAUUCCCAUUUCUGGGGUGGAUUUUGGGUUAAAAAUUCCCAUUUUUAGGAUGGAUUUUGAGGUUAAAGUUGGGAGUUUUGGGGUGGAUUUUGGGUUAAAAAUUCCCAUUUUUGGGGUGGAAUUUGGGUUUAAAAUUCCUACUUUAGGGCUGGAUUUUGGGUUAAAAAUUCCCAUUUUUAGGAUGGAUUUUGGGUUAAAAAUUCCCAUUUUUAGGAUGGAUUUUGGGUUAAAAAUUCCCAUUUUUGGGGUGGACUUUUGAGUUAAAAUACCGAAUUUUGGGGUGAAAAUGCCCAUUUUUGGGGUGGAUUUUGGGUUAAAAUUACCCGUUUUUAGGGUGGAUUUUGGGGUUAAUUUUGGAAUUUUGGGGUGAAAAUUCCAAUUUCUGGGGUGGAUUUUGGGUUAAAAUUUCCCGUUUUUAGGGUGGAUUUUGGGGUUAAUUUUGGAAUUUUGGGGUGAAAAUUCCAAUUUCUGGGGUGGAUUUUGGGUUAAAAAGUCCCGUUUUUAGAGUGGAUUUCGAGGUUAAAGCUCAGAGUUUUAGGAUGGAUUAAGUUUGAAAAUUCCGAUUUUUGGGGUGGACUUCGGGGUUAAAAUACGGAAUUUUGGGGUGAAAAUGCCCGUUUUUGGGGUGGACUUAGGGGUAAAAAAUCUGAGUUUUGGUGUAAAAA